CCAUAUAGACGAGUCCUUUGAUUUCUCUUGGAAGCGUGUGUGCGAUCCUCUCUUUUUGACCAAGAUUCUAAAAUUAUAAAUCCACUUCUCUCAAUUCCCCAUAACUCAAGCACAUCGAUUUUGUAUGUAUAGACUCUCUCCUUGGAUCCCUAACUCAUCACUUUGAAAUCAUCAUAUACCCAUAAAAAGAAAAAGGAGAAGACACCCACCAAAAGAAUGAGAAUUUGAAAGAUAAUAUGUUAUAUCAAGAAUAUAUAAGUUCAAAUGUUUACGUUAUACAUAACCCAUUUAGUAAUAUUCCAAGUAGAGAAUGAUGGUCAUACAUAUAGGUACAAAAAUUUGGAAUAUUAUUGUGUAGAUAUGGUGAAAGUGUGGGACUUUAUGAAUAGGAUCCUGGAUUUCCCUUACUUUCAUGCAAGAGAAUUUAAUUGACGUUAUGAGAGAAAGUAGAAAUGGAAAAAAAGAAAAGAAAAGAAAAGAAAAGAAUGGGAGAGUGACCUUAUAGAAAAGGGUAAGCUCUCCUUUUCUUAAAGACUGCAAAAGAGAGAGAGUUAAUUAAGGUGUGUGGAAACUUUGUCUCCAUUCUUAUACUGUCUUUUUUAAGAUGCCAACAACAAUCUAAUCCAAUCUUCCUUUUUUGGUGGGUCUUGUUUCUUCACAAUUUUGAACUUUUGUAUUUUUUCUGAAAUCAAAGCAAACUCCAAUCCCUAUAUAGUUUUCAAUCUUGUCUACCUCCAAAACAAACCCAACAAUGCAUAUACAUAUACAUAAAUAUAUUCAUAUAUGUAAAUGUAUAUGUAGAGAAUUCAUGAGAGCCUAAAAAGAAUACCAUAGUUUUCUCAUCACGCUGAAAGAUUCCGUUCGUCUGCUUUUCUUGCCCUUCACUCUGUCUUAUGCUUACCCACAUGGAGUUGCUGCUACCUGGCUAGUACUAUGUACAUAUAUGUAUGUAUAUAUAUAUAUAUAUAUAUAUAUACUUAUCCAAGGCAAUCAACAAAAAUGCAGUGAAGUUUAUAAACAGCUUGUAUUUUGGGUAG
rnacentral:lncRNA from 1 species